rnacentral:rRNA from 1 species
UACGUAGGGUGCAAGCGUUGUUCGGAAUUAUUGGGCGUAAAGAGCUCGUAGGUGGUGUGUCGCGUCUGCCGUGAAAGCCCAUGGCUUAACUGUGGGUCUGCGGUGGAUACGGGCAGGCUGGAGGCUGGUAGGGGCAAGCGGAAUUCCUGGUGUAGCGGUGAAAUGCGCAGAUAUCGAGAGGAACACCUGCGGCGAAGGCGGGUUGCUGGGCUGACACUGGCGCUGAUUGUGCGAAAGCUAGGGGAGCGAACGGG